UUUCCGUAGGUGAACCUGCGGAAGGAUCAUUAUUGAAUAAACCUGAUGUGGUUGUAGCUGGCCCUUUCGGGAGCAUGUGCACACCCGUCGUCUUUAUCUUUCCACCUGUGCACCUUUUGUAGACCUGGAUGUAACACAUUCCGAGGCAACUCGGUCGGGAGGAAUGCUGUCAGCUUUCCUUGAAUGUCCAGGCCUAUGUUUUCAUAUACCCCAAAGAAUGUAACAGAAUGUAUUAUUGGGCCUUGUGCCUAUAAACUAUAUACAACUUUCAGCAACGGAUCUCUUGGCUCUC
rnacentral:misc_RNA from 1 species